CUGUGAGAAUCGCUAGUUCGUGAUCUUUCUGUAUUAUGGACUAUAGGCCACACGCCUGCAGUGGUACAUUCGGUAGAUCGCGGGGCCAUUUUUCGCGACGAGUUUCAUCAGACGGACACUCGUGAUUUUCGAGUGAUCGGCCUGUGUGCGGAUCCGUUUAUCGCGUUAACUGGAGUGCGUCGGACACAAUCAAAAUUCUUUUCUUGUUUUAUACGUAUUCCGUGGCGUAUACGCGGUGAGA